UCCACGCCCUAAAUGAUGAUUACUCGCUGUUGGCAAUAUAUCGUCAGCGGCUAAGCGAAAGCAUUAAGUAAUCCACCUGGGGAGUACGAUCGCAAGGUUGAAACUCAAAGGAAUUGACGGGGGCCCGCACAAGCGGAGGAACAUGUGGUUUAAUUCGAUGAUACGCGAAGAACCUUACCUAGCCUUGACAUUGAUAGAACGGACCAGAGAUGGACCGGUGCCUUUCGGGAACU
rnacentral:rRNA from 1 species